GGGUAAUGACGAGGCAGGUUUGAGCCUACUAAGAUAAAAUAUAAUAAUAUACCUUGCUACAAUAUAAAAUGAUAAGGAAAUAAUGAAUACAACUAUGAAAUAAGGCAGGCUAUACAAAGCAACAAAUAACACACAUACAAUAAGGUAACACAGAGUAAAAUAGCAAUAUCAGUACCCACAACGAGGAUCUCCUAGGAUACCGUCCUAUAGUCUAUUUCAUCAACUGUCCGAGGAGUUCCCGGGAUACCGUCCCGCAGUCCAACUAUCAAGGUGUAGGGGGGUCUACUGGGAAACUAACCCAUAGUCUUAAAGUAAAAGUGCAAGGGAUCUAUCGGGAAUCCAACCCGUAGUCCCAAAGUAAACAAACAAGGGGGAGAUACCGAAAUCCCAC
rnacentral:lncRNA from 1 species